GCAUAUCAAUAAGCGGAGGAAAAGAAACAAACAUGGAUUCCCCUAGUAGCGGCGAGCGAAGCGGGAAGAGCCCAGAAUGAAAAGCUCCCGUCAGGGCGCAUUGUAAUCUGGAGACGUGCCUCGUGCGGGGCGGCUGGACUCAAGUCUGCUGGAAAGCAGCAUCGUAGAGGGUGAAAAUCCCGUGCUUGGUCUGGCUCUGCACCGUGUUGUGGGGCGCGCUCGACGAGUCGCGUUGUUUGGGAAUGCAGCGCAAAGUAGGGUGGUAAACGCCAUCCAAGGCUAAAUAUGGGGGAGAGACCGAUAGCGAACAAGUACCGUGAGGGAAAGAUGAAAAGAACUUUGGAAAGAGAGUUAAACAGUACGUGAAAUUGUUAAAAGGGAAGCGUUGGCAGUCAGUACCGCAAGGUGUGCCCUGUCUCCUUUUCUUACGGAAAGGAUCAAGGGGUGCACGUGGGGCUCAUGUCGGUUUGCGGCGGGGGAGAAGUCUGUGGGGAAGGUGGCUCUUGCUUCGGCAGGAGUGUUAUAGCCCUGCAGCGGAUACUCUGCCUUUGCGGACCGAGGCUUACCCCUCGCAAGGGGGGUAGGACAUGGGCUUAAUGGCUUUCAGCGGCCCGUCUUGAAACACGGACC
rnacentral:rRNA from 1 species